ensembl:lncRNA
CCUGGCAACCCCUCUUCCUCGACCCCGGCUGAGCGGUUUUAGGGAACCACGGCGGCCCCUUUGACUGCCUCCCCCAAAAUCGUCCAUUUCGUCCGUAGGUGGUCCAGAAUCGGGCUGUCCUUCUCGCCAUUGUGCAACUGGAAUAGGUGCGUCCUCUCCUGUUUCGUACACUGCAGUUGUAGACUCUACGAUCUGAUUGGGCAACGACGAGCGAGACUUCAUCAGCAGAACAUCCCUGUCGCCAUGACAACUUGCCAAUAUCCCAACGAUGGCCACUUCGCUGCUAUGUCUGGUGCUGAAACCAACAGAUGUCCCAUCAUGAGUUGUUUAGUCCAAUGCCUCGCUCCCCAGGACACCCAAUCGGCUUAAAAUUAUGUCUAUAGUUAUCAUUAUACGGUUCAAUCACAUGGUGAAAGCAAAGAAGGAAUCCAAAACUCUUUUACUUAAAAUUCAGUUCUCUCAGAGGACAUUGUUGAUCUUUCUUUUAAUGCAAAGUGUUCCAAUUGGUCGUAUAAUAUCCAUGAAACUAAUAUGGUUGCUGUAUUUCUUUAUAAUAGAAACUGGAAAAAGUUCCUCCCAAUUGCUCCUUUACCCUCACACCCCCCCAAACACAAAUUGCUGUGCCCAUGGUCGGAUCCCCCAACCCCCCUACCCCCAUGUCUUUAAUAACUUGGAACAAGAUUUCCGCUCAAGUGCAAAGCAUUUUCGGUCACAAUGCAUCAUUCUGAUAUCGAAGCGUAAUAGAUGGCGCUUUGAAUGAAAACCACCGAAAAGAAAAGAUGAUAAAGAAAUCCUGAUUGAACCAAGCCAAGUAGCAAAACAAGCAGAAAAGCGAGAAGAAAAAAAAACGAAAAAAGAAGAAAGAAGAGAAGAGAAGAAAGCCUUCCGUUGUCGGCCACGCUAUCCGCCACGCUAUCCGCUGCACAAACAGAUGUACAUUUAGCGGGCGAGACACCUGCUGUGCAGCUAGCCUUACUGGUCCUCUUCAGACGGCUGGUUCCCAGGGUUCCUUUGCCCAUUCCCCCUCCAUGUCCCUCCACGCAGGAGACGAUGACCUUGGACGCUCCCUGGGCUCUGGCACCCCUGCUAGGGCUGAAUGGUGGUCCGGAACACAGGGCCUAGCCUGCACCGCUUUGAUGCUAAUCCCCCUACAUUGUGCUAGCACAGCACCCUACCUGGCCCGCUAGCCUAGAGGGAGCACGGCGGCCAUUGAAAGCAGGUGAUGAAUGAACGCGUAGCUGCAGGAAGUCUGGCUCCCCAUGAAGCCCACACAGCAUUGCAGGCCACAAAGCUGCUCAAAACAGUCACUUGCAUUUUCCCUCAGUUUUGGUGGAUUUCAGAAAAAAAAAAAUUAAGACCUUCCCAGUAGCUCUUGUUGUUCUGGGCUUUUGGCAAAUGCAUGUUCUUCUCCAAAUAUGACGAGCAGGACCGGCGGUCAGGCUUUCGAAGAACGUAAACAUGUCACCCGCCCAUCGAUAUUGGUAAAGACACAUGACUGCACACAUCCCGAGCCCAAAUGGACACACACACACACACACACACACGCAUGCACGCACAAACCCACACGCAAGACAAGUGAAUAAAGAAAUCAUAAUGCCUGUAACCGUAGUAGCAGGCAAAUAUUGAUUGACGGUGGUAAAGGACAUGCAUGGAAAUCUUAAAGCGGUAGCUUCCUUUUUCCUCCCAACACG